CCUACGGGUGGGCAGCAGUGGGGAAUAUUGCACAAUGGGGGAAACCCUGAUGCAGCAACGCCGCGUGAGUGAUGACGGCCUUCGGGUUGUAAAGCUCUGUCUUCAGGGACGAUAAUGACGGUACCUGAGGAGGAAACCACGGCUAACUACGUGCCAGCAGCCGCGGUAAUACGUAGGUGGCGAGCGUUGUCCGGAUUUACUGGGCGUAAAGGGAGCGUAGGCGGACUUUUAAGUGAGAUGUGAAAUACCCGGGCUAAACUUGGGUGCUGCAUUUCAAACUGGAAUUCGAUAGUGCAGGAGAGGAGAAUGGAAUUCCUAGUGUAGCGGUGAAAUGCGUAGAGAUUAGGAAGAACACCAGGGGCGAAGGCGAUUCUCUGGACUGUAACUGACGCUGAGGCUCGAAAGCGUGGGGAGCAAACA
rnacentral:rRNA from 1 species